GAAGGGCGGGACUUCCGCUCCAAUAUGUGUCCAUUCAAUAGAAAUACAGGUGGAGAUGAGCCCUGUAAUGAUCUGUAACUGCUAUCUGCAAAGUGUUGUAACUGUAGGAAGUGGAUACUGUAUCUUUGUAUUAUUACCAGUGUGUCCACAGAAUGUGCUAGCAUUUCAUUGCAAAAAUAUGUAAUUUCAUAAUAAGCUUAUUUUCUUUUUUGAAAUGGUGUGACACAAUGUCACAGUUGCUCGAGGUAUUUUCACCUGGCGUUCUCACAGUAAAAUAGGUGUCAGCAUCUUGCAGGCUAUGAACAUGGAAACCUGUGCUGCAUGUCAUACCCCUCUCUCUCUCCGAAUCCUACAUUUGAGACUAAAUGACUUGUUAAAAUGUUUUGUACACAGUAGAGCAGAUGCUUUUGGCUGAAUAGGAUUCUGACAUCAGACAAUGGCUGGAUUCUGUCCAGACGUACAGCGACGUCUGUCCGUCUAGACCUGCAGUCUUGGCUCUGAAAUGAGUGUUCAGUAAAUGUUUGAGUGGUAAAUAAACACCUCGUGACUGAAGGAACAAUA